AGUGAACGCUGGCGGUAGGCCUAACACAUGCAAGUCGAACGGCAGCACAGUAAGAGCUUGCUCUUACGGGUGGCGAGUGGCGGACGGGUGAGGAAUACAUCGGAAUCUACUUUUUCGUGGGGGAUAACGUAGGGAAACUUACGCUAAUACCGCAUACGACCUACGGGUGAAAGCAGGGGAUCUUCGGACCUUGCGCGAUUGAAUGAGCCGAUGUCGGAUUAGCUAGUUGGCGGGGUAAAGGCCCACCAAGGCGACGAUCCGUAGCUGGUCUGAGAGGAUGAUCAGCCACACUGGAGCUGAGACACGGUCCAGACUCCUACGGGAGGCAGCAGUGGGGAAUAUUGGACAAAGGGCGCAAGCCUGAUCCAGCCAUACCGCGUGGGUGAAGAAGGCCUUCGGGUUGUGAAGCCCUUUUGUUGGGAAAGAAGAGCAGCAGGUUAAUACCCCGCUGUUCUGACGGUACCCAAAGAAUAAGCACCGGCUAGCUUCGUG
rnacentral:rRNA from 1 species